UACGUAGGCAGCAAGCGUUGUUCGGAAUUACUGGGCGUAAAGAGUGUGUAGGCGGUGCUCUAAGUUUGGUGUGAAAUCUCCCGGCUUAACCGGGAGGGUGCGCCGAAAACUGGAGUGCUAGAGUAUGGGAGAGGUAAGCGGAAUUCCUGGUGUAGCGGUGAAAUGCGUAGAUAUCAGGAGGAACACCUGUGGUGUAGACAGCUUACUGGACCAUUACUGACGCUGAGACACGAAAGCGUGGGUAGCAAAC
rnacentral:rRNA from 1 species